AGAGGGAGGAAGACCGCAGCCUCUGGAUGCAAGAGGGGCACAGGCGCAGGCUUCACGGGGAGCCUCGGGGAACCUCCACGGCGCUCCCAUCAUGGGAGCUCAGCCCGCCCUCAGGACUCCUGAAUGUACAGCUGGAACACUGAUUUUGAAACCUUUCUUGCCCCCACUUGGCCCCUCAAAGUGCUCCGGAAGAGCCUGUGACUCUCAGAUACGUUCAGGAGUGCACACAAACUGCUCCGUCAGGCGGAGCCGUCUGCUCCGAUCAUCAGCCCGUGAAGAGAGUCUGUGAAGACUCACGAGCACUGCUGGGCUGGCUGCAGGGACUCACCCCGUAAUCACAGUGCUCGAAUAAAGCAGGAGGGCGUCCCGGAGAGCGAGAAUAUCCUGAGACUCCGCGUGUGUGCGGGCAAACCACAUGCCUGGGGAGAGAGGCCGCGAGAGCCGCCCAUGCCUGAACUGAGCCUGUCUCCGGGGCCUUGUGGCUUUUGGUGGAGCAGAGUGAGUUUCAGCGGGAGGCAGGGGGACUCUCCACAUUCCUGAUGGCACAGGUUCUGUCCAGCUUGAGUUGAUGGGGUGACACUGGGUAUCGGAGGAGGGACCCAAGAAGACUGGAGAGUGCGACCUCUCCCACAGAAGUCUCGAGCACAAACAGAGUCAGUUCAAGCUACUUGGGAGACAGAGUCUGCUUCCCCUCUCGAGCAUUUGAAUGCUUCCUGACGUCUGGGUCUGUCCUUGGGAAGUUUCUUGCAGACCUCAAUAUCUCUUGGGUAGUAAGAAAGAGUCACGCAUGUUUCCUGAGCGCCUUCCUGUUCCUGAAAGAUGAAGUCUGCCAGCUCCGUGGGCUGACGAUGUUCACAACCACUGCGGUGGGAGAAGGCCCCCCACUCUCCUGCCCCGGCUUCCUGGGGUUCUCGGGCGCUGACUUCCGAUGAGAUGUGGAGGCUGGAGGCAGGGUUUCCAGGGUGCAGACACACUCCCUGAGCAGCAAGGGGGCCCUGCAGAGCUGGGAAACGCCUCUUUCCCCCUCUUUCCUCCCUC